UCAGGCUUGCAACCUUUCUUCUCCAUAAUUUUGAACAACUUAACAGCCACAGAAGGAUUCCCUCUCUUGCAAAUGCCGUCAAUGAUAAUUGUAUAGGUAACAACAUCGGGUUGAAUAAGUUGAAAUCUGAUGAGGUUCUGGAACAAAAGCUGAGCCUCUUGAAGCAUAUCUUGGGAAAUAAGGCCCCUGAUGAGAGUGGUAUAAGUCACCACACUUGGCACAAAACCGUGCUUGAUGAUUCCAGCCAAUAGUGAAAAGGCAAAAUCGACACGAUUCAAGUGACAGAAACAGUUAAUGGCAGUAGUGAAGGUAUAUAUAUUAAGGGGGAUGCUUCGAACACGCAUAUCCCUAAAGAGAGACACAGCUACAGAGUACUCUUUCAUUUUAACGAGGGCGGCUAGCAGUUGAUUAAAUUUAAGAACAGGAAGCAUAGGCUUCAUAAGGAGCAUUUUAUCAAACACUUGGAGAGCAUCAUCGAGUUUAUCGAAACCAACCUUGGAUUUCUCAUACAGUAAUUGCUGAAGUCUCGCAUGAGAUGUAUUGGAAAAAUGAGGAACAUAGGGGUGUUUGGGGUUAGGUUUAGUGGAGAACAUAAGAAAAUGAGCAUCGAAUUGAAACAAUGCGAGACCACAAGUAGUAGCUGCAGACUCAGCUGCAGAUCGUAGAAAUGGUAGCACUGGUGUUAAUGAAGCGAGACUCCUCAUCGCUGCUUAUAUAAUCAGUUACUGAAUGCUACUUCUUGCCGGUGCUCUCACUUCACUGGGUUCACUUGCCCAGAACACAAAAUAUGACGGAACAAUGGGAUGUACUGUGUACUCAAGUUACAAAUUAUAUCUCAUAUAGUAUAAUUUUACGUGUUAAAUUUAUAUAAAUAUAAAAAUUAAUAUAUAAUUUUUUAUUUGAAAUUAUACCAUACCACACGUAAAAAAUAUUUUGAGAUCUAAGAACGAUCACUUUCACAGAUUGCAAGGUUGAGCAUAAAAGGUGUCGAAAACAUAAAAGAUGUCGAAAAGUAAAAUUCGGUAUAUAAUAUGUCAUGUCUUACCACAAAUCCAACACAACAUGCGCAAUUCUGCUGUCUCUGGUCGACGCUCGAUGCUUUUGAGUUUUUUAAAAUGACCGACACUCAGAACCAUAUAAUAAUGACGAUAUGAUUGUCACUCGAUAAAAUUUAUCUUUCAACUACAAAGGUACAUUUUUUAAAUCAUCAUAUAUAUGUAUCUCAAUUUUUUUGAAAUUAUAAUUUAUUUCAUUUUUUUCUUUUUAAUGAAUUUAUAACUUUUUUACUAACAUUAUAUUUUCUCCGUUUUAGUAUAAUACUCCCCGUGACGCUUUUUUAGUUGUCAUGUUUGAAUUUUGACAAGUCAAAUUGAUCAAAAUUUGACUAAAUUUAUUAAUAUUUUAUUAAUUAAUAAAAUAAUAAAUAUGUCACCGAAAAUAACUAUUUUUUUCACAACCAAAAUAACUUUCAAUCUACUCUGAUAUGUAAUUUUCCAGUAUUUUAAAAUAAUAUAAGAGGUACUUAUAAUUUUUGAUCAAAAAUUAGUAAAUUUGAUUAAUAAAAUAAAAAUGUGACAAUUAAAAAGAAACGGAAGGAGUAGUUUUAAGAAUAGAGCAAUAUCGGUCUUCUAAUUAAUAUUUUAAAAUUUUAGGUGCAUAAUUAAAUUUAGCUGGGUGGAAACUGAACCUGUGAAAGGCUACCUUAGCUAUUCUCGCAGCUCAUAACAUUUAAACUAUAUGUUGAUACAUAGGGUACGGUUCAAAUUAGAACCGAUAUUAAUAUUAAAAUUAGAACUAAGGUAUACACGCGGAACUUAGGAACACACAUGCUUUGAUUGAAAUUUAUACGUAUUAUAUAACUAAAUAAUAAAAAUAAUUGGGUUGAUAAAUUUGCAUGAGCAUUGUUGAUUUUAUAAUAUACAAAAUGUUUUUACUAUAGCAGCAACAGAGUGAACCAGGACACAUUGCUAUACCCAAGUUAGUCAUCAUCUCCCGCUCCGUCGAACACUUCUGCAUCUCCACCACCCCAAUCUUGAUCCCAAGUUAGUCAUCAUCUCCAGCUCCGUCAAACCCUUCUGCAUCUCCCCCACCCCAAUCUUGAACAUCUGCUGGUCCAUCAUCGACAUUAACAUCUAUAGCCAUGUCGAAACCAAUAUCAUCAUUAGGGACUUCCUGCAGUUCUGGCACGGUCUUCUUAAUCUCCAUAGAUGCAAUGUUUGCGUCACUGAAAAAAUCAGCAUACGGCUUCGAAACCUGAACAGAGAUAUAAAAUUUAAAAAAUUCUUAAUUAUAUACGCUCCAUUGCUGCAGCAACAAUAAUCUUCGGAUAACAUAUUUGUAUAUACGCCAUAGCAAUUGACACAUCUUAAUAAAACUGUAACUGGAAAUUUCAUUCUCCAUUCUUGUCUUCUAGCCAAAUAAGGAAAAAUUUAAAUGUUCACUUGAAUUUUUAAAAUUCAAAUCAGUUGAUGUAGAUGUAGUAGAAGAGGAUAUCGAAACUUUGUUUCUGAGUGAUGGCAAAGGAGAUGCAAAGCAAAUUUAGUCUAAAAAGAUUUAACCACCUUAUAAAGAGCAUUCCUCUUUUCUGCACUCUUGAUGAGAUUUUUCCAGUGCUCGUCUUUUCUCAAAGUUGAAGCAGAACCCACAACCUGAAUAAACAAAAAGGCAGCUUCUGUUAUAUAAGCAAAGCUAUAAGUGUACUGUACACAGUUCUGAAAAAAUUAAAAUAAGCGCUUCAAAUUUAUUACCCAAACAGAAGACCUUGCUCUGGUAACAUUCAUUCUCGGAGAAUCAGCAGAAAAUCCGAUGCCUUUAUCUUUGCUUCCCCUGACACAUGAAAAUACAACAACAUCUUUUUCUCUUCCCUGCAUUAGGAACAGGAUACAUUUAACAAAAUUUACAACUUUUAGAACGAGGAAAACAAGUAAUGCGCAAGAUGCAUCCGGUGAUUAUAAAUUCAAAUAAAAUCUCAAGGCGUAUAUAGAGCCAUAUUAAUCUCAACCAAUGAAUAGUAAAUUUUUUAUAAAAAGAAUAAAUUUGUUAGCAAAUCAAAUAACCAUAAAUCUUUUGCAGAGCCUCCUAUCAAUCAUCCUGUUGAUUAAAAUUAGUAAAAUUUAGGGGGCUCCAGCCCCCACCAUGUGGAAGCGGUAAUUGUUAGCUACUUUGUUGUAACUAGCCAUAUUUGCUAAUAUGAACGAUUCAAGUUGAUACUUGAAUGACUGGAGAAAAUAAUGAUACUUACUGGUAUAAAUAAAAUUACAUGUUAUUCAAGUAGCAAAGAGUUGGAGAGGAAGUAUGGCAGAAUUAGUAGCAGCAUCUCAACUAGAGAAGCCUGAAGUACAGAGAAAGGCAAGGCCCUCUCUUACGGAAAGUACUUCUCACGCAAGGCAAGAAGAGUAGGAUCCGGUUCUUGCACUUCAAGUAAGUCUAGUAACACAGAUGUUGUAGAUGCAUCUGCUGCAAAGCGGCGACCAAGCAUUUCAUCUAGUAGUACAUCUGCUUCAUAGUACUUAUUAUUCUGUAAACAACAGCGUAUAAGUGUGUUGUAUGUGACAUCAUUAGGCAAGCAAUAAUGAGCUUCCAUUUCCCUGAAUAGUUCAUUUGCUUCAUCCAAUAACCCUACAUGACAAUAUGCUUGGAUCAUCACAGUGUAUGUCUUGACAUUAGGUCGCAAACCUUUCGCAGGAAGGUUGUCAAAAAGGCUUCUUGCAUUCUCGAGAUGUCCAUUUUUGCUUAGUCCAUCAAUCAGAAUAGUGUAAACCUGUAUAUCAGCAACUAACCCACUGGACUCUAGUAUUUGAAAAAACGAUAGUGCUUCAAAUACAUAACAAUUCUGGCAAAGACCAUGCAACAAGAUACGACAUGUCACUUUAUCCAACUCAACACCUUGGUUAAUCAUCUUUUCCCUAAAAAAAUUACGUGCUUCAACAUGCCUGCCCACAUGAAAAAAACCUUGCAGUAUAGUACUGUAAGUCUGAAUAGUUGGGGUUAAACCUUCAGAGGGCAUUUGUUGAAAAAGAUCUAUGGCUCUGUCCACUUUCUUCUUUCUACAGUACCCGUUGAUGAGGAUAUUAUAGCUAAGAGCAUCAUGCAAUAUUCCCUUUCUAGUCAUGCUUUCGAACACUACUAAAGCUUUAUCAACCUCUCCCUGCAAGCAGUAUCCAUCCAUUAGUGAAUUGUAAGUGACUACAUCUGGAUAAUGGCCUCUUUGAAUCAUCAACUCUAUCACAUCCUCCGCAUCUUCAAUCAUUCCUUCUUUGCAAUACGCAUCAACCAAUAUGCUGUAAGUAAAAACAUCUCGAGAAAUGUUCCUAACAUCCAUCUCCUUGAGCAAUAAUUUGACAUCAUGCCAUCGAUUAAUGUCACACAGUCCUUGAAUUAACGAGCUGUAGGUUAUAACAUUUGGGGAUAUGCCUUUCCUUGUCAUUCGGUGGAGAAGACCCAAUGCUUGAUCGACUAACUUAUGUUUACAUAAACAGUCAAUAAUUGUGUUGUAAGUGACCGUAUUAGGCUUGCAACCUUUCUUCUCCAUAAUUUUGAACAACUUAACAGUCACAGAAGGAUUCCCUCUCUUGCAGAUGCCGUCAAUGAUAGUUGUAUAGGUAACAACAUCGGGUUGAAUAAGUUGAAAUCUGAUGAGGUUCUGGAACAAAAGCUGAGCCUCUUGAAGCAUAUCUUGGGAAAUAAGGCCCCUGAUGAGAGUGG
rnacentral:lncRNA from 1 species